CUUAAACAACAACAACAACAACGGUUCACGCAUGCUGGAGGAGAAAUGUACAAAUAAGGUAAUCUUGGCGAAGGAACACUAUUAUAUCAGAUUUAAAGCAGUCUUGCAACUUACAAUACUUGUCUCCUGUCCUUGAAAAUGGCCUGCAAGUUGGAAUACACUGGGAAUGAUAUUUCACCACAUGAAAUACAGACAUGCCAAGGAAAAAAGGAAAACAUUCAGUUUGAAAGAUUUUGGGUCUACAUAUGCCACAUUUGUAAAGCAUCAUUUAAAAGGCCUGAAAGCCUCAAAGUGCACUUAACAGCACAUAGUAGUACUGGAGAAGAGAUGAGGAAUCCUCACCGUAGAAGUUUCAGUAAACUGACUCGCAUUGCGAAAGAAAGGAUAGUUCCUAGACUGGAACGUCCAUUUUCUUGUACAAUUUGUGAAGAGAGGUGUAAAGAUGACUUAGCUUUAAAAUUUCAUCUAUCGGUCUCGCAUAGGUUUCCAUAUAAGUGUUGUAUUUGUGACAAAGAGUACCGUAAUAAAUUAAGUUUAAAAUGCCAUUUACGAACACAUUGGAGAAAGCCUAAACCUCAGUUUCCAUGCCCCAUGAUUAGAUGUAAUAAAAAAUUCAGUAGUCAAAGUUUGGUGGAAUCUCACGUGAAGUUCCACAGUCAAAGACAGAAAUUUCCCUGUGAAAUUUGCAAUAAGGAGUAUUCUUCGAAAGAAACUCGAAAACAACACAUGCUUAUUCAUACAAGAGUGAGAGAAAUCACACGGCACCAUUGUGAAAUUUGCAAUGAAACAUUUAUUAGGAAAAAGGACUUAAGGAAUCACAUGUUGCUUCAUUCAGCAGGAAAGGAGGAUAUUAACCACCAGUGUAAAAUAUGUGGAAAAAUAUUCUCUAACAAGAAGAGGCUUGCUGCACAUGUGGAAAUGCAUAAGAACACAUGGAUCAGCACUGAUUAGAAAACCAGUAAAUGAAGAGCUGCCAAGGCUAGUUCCAGUGUUACUGUUACACUAGACAUCUACACUAUCACCUUUCACUAGAUGUAAUGUAGCUGCUCCUGUAGCUGUUCCAUUGCCGUCUGUUGCAUACUUACCGUCUAUUUUACCCUGCCGAGAAUUCAUCCAGUCGGAGAAAUUUGAUUUUUGAGGUCGAUGAAUUGUCCGGGAAUUUUGAAUGUAGUUUGUAAUUCUUGUGUUGCAAAAUUGUCAGGGAAUUUUGAAUGUAGUUUCAACAGUGUUUUUUUUGCAGUGUUGCAAAAUGCUAAGAGUCACUUUACAAUUAUUCCCAUCUUGAUUAAGUGUAACUGACUUUAAGCAUUUUUGUAGCCAUUUUCUUUUAGGAAUAUCCAUGUCUUAUGCAAUUAUAUAACAUGUGUCUUAUUAUAUAUGUCUUAUAUCAAUUAUCUCUGUACUCUAUACAAUAUAAUCUUCUCAGACACUAUUUUCAAGAAUAUCUAUGUCUUAUGCAGUAUAAUCUCCUCAGUACUUUAAUAAAAUAUUUAUGUCUUAUGCACUAUAAUCUCCUCGGUACUUUAAUGAAAUAUUUAUGUCUUACGCACUAUAAUCUUCUCAGUACUUUAAUGAAAUAUUUAUGUCUUAUGCACUAUAAUCUUCUAAGUACUUCCAAGAAUAUCUAUGUCUUACGCACUAUAAUCUUCUCAGUACUUUCAAGAAUAUCUAUGUCUUACGCACUAUAAUCUUCUCAGUACUUUAAUGAAA
rnacentral:misc_RNA from 1 species